rnacentral:misc_RNA from 1 species
AAAAUAAUCCUACCCUUUGUGAAUUUUGUUUGUUUGAAUAAUUUUUUUUUUUAAAAAAUUAUUGGAGUCUUUCCCUUUAGAGUUUGCUUUUGAGUUUGUAAAGAAUUCGAAAACAUCUAAAGGGGAUGGUCAAUAAUUUUUUUUGAAAAAAGACAUUUUUUAAAAUUAAACUUUUUGUAUUCAUUUGUCUAAAAAUUAUUUUUAUAAUAUAAAAACAACUUUUGACAAUGGAUCUCUUGGUUCUCGCAACGAUGAAGAGCGCAGCAAAAUGCGAUAAGUAGUGUGAAUUGCAGAAUACGUGAAUCAUCGAAUCUUUGAACGCAUAUUGCACUUUUUUAGUUUACUAAAAAAGUAUGUCUGUUUGAGUAUCAGUAAAAUAUUCUCAUAAAAAUCAUUGUGUAUUUUUAUGGUUAUGAGUGUUUCACAACGAUACAAGUUGUUUCACUUUAAAUUUUUUUUUAAUAUUGAAAUUUUUCUAAUUUUAAUAAUUAAAUUGGAUAAAAUUUUCCCGUCAAAAGGAAUAACCUAAACAAUUUUAAAUGAUUAAUUUUAGCAAAAUUUUCGUAAAAAAGGAAAAUUUUUAUUAAAAUAACUUGAUCUCAAAUCAGAUAAGAGUACCCGCUGAACUUAAGCAUAUCAAUAAGCGGAGGAAAAGAAACUAACAAGGAUUCCCUUAGUAACGGCGAGUGAAGCGGGAAGAGCUCAAAUUUGAAAUCUUCAAGGUUUUACCUUGACGAAUUGUAGUUUAAAGAAGUGUUUUCUGCUGAAGUUUUGGUAAAAGUUCUUUGGAAUAGGACAUCAUAGAGGGUGAGAAUCCCGUAUUUGACCAUUAUUUUCAGCUUUGUGAUACACUUUCAAAGAGUCGGAUUGUUUGGGAAUGCAGUCCAAAAUGGGUGGUAAAUUUCAUCUAAAGCUAAAUAUUGGCGAGAGACCGAUAGCGAACAAGUACCGUGAGGGAAAGAUGAAAAGAACUUUGAAAAGAGAGUUAAACAGUACGUGAAAUUGUCAAAAGGGAAGCGUUUGACACCAGUGUUGUUUUCUCGAAAAUCAAUUAAAAAUGGCUCGAUUUUGUAUUGCUUGAGACCUUAAAAGCUCACUGUACAUUUUUCGUGUCUUUUUUAAUGCACUUUUCGUUUAACAAGUCAACAUCAGUUUCUUUUGUUGUAAAAGGGUCAUUGGAAGUGGCUUUCUUUUCGGAGAAAGUGUUUAUAGCCUUUGGCCUCUGCAAUCGGAGAGACUGAGGUCUGCAGCGUAGACUCUUCGGGGUUAGAUACAUUUGUGCUAAGUUAUAGCUUUUUAUAGACAACUUGUUGACUAUAAUUAGUCUUGUAGCUUACUCGCUUAUGCUAUUUUACC